rnacentral:lncRNA from 1 species
AAGGCAAGACAAUAAUGAAACAUAAAUUUACAACUAAGAAAGUAAACUAGAACUAAAGAAACAAUCCGCACCUUUAAUAUAUGAUAGAGCAAGGAUCUCAAAGAGUAAUGAUACAGUCACAGAGAACAAAAUAAACACUUGCACAUAUAAGAAGUAAAAGUAAACUUUCUGAACCCGUCUGAAGCAAUAGAUCUGCAUCACAUCCAUAAGUAAUUAACAAACAUAGGCAUACAAACUAGUUCUCCCUGAAAGUGAGAGGAAAAGGUUCGUCGUA